rnacentral:rRNA from 1 species
GACGAACCGAGCGAACGUUGUUCGGAAUCACUGGGCUUAAAGGGCGCGUAGGCGGGCUGUCAAGUCUGGGGUGAAAUCCCACGGCUCAACCGUGGAACUGCCUUAGAUACUGACGGCCUCGAGGGAGAUAGGGGCGAGCGGAACUGUGAGUGGAGCGGUGAAAUGCGUUGAUAUUCACAGGAACACCAGUGGCGAAGGCGGCUCACUGGUCCGGUACUGACGCUGAGGUGCGAAAGCGUGGGGAGCAAACAGG